rnacentral:rRNA from 1 species
UGGUGGAGUGAUUUGUCUGCUUAAUUGCGAUAACGAACGAGACCUUAACCUGCUAAAUAGCCAGGCUAGCUUUGGCUGGUCGCCGGCUUCUUAGAGGGACUAACAGCGUUUAGCUGUUGGAAGUUUGAGGCAAUAACA